CAACUUUGCUUUCAGAUAACCCUCCUUCCUCCACCUCACAAAAACUCACAAGCUGCAACCCUUCUGAUGUCCACUCCCACACAAACCAGCUUCAGGCCUUUUUCAAGAUGUGACUGGAGUGAUUUGCACCCGGAUGCCUAGACUCGCCAUCUGCUCAAAGACUGCUCAGAAAGCCCUCCCAUGCAUUCCCCUGCUGCAUACCAGCCCACUCUGCCUGCAGCUGCUGUCUGCAGGACUUCAUAUCUAUGCCACACUGUGUAAAAGCUGUGCUUCAAGAAAUCACAAAAACAUUUUCCUGCACCUACUACACAGCCUGAGUGCGGCAUAAGUUGACCUUGCUUGCUAAGAAAUGGGGCAAGAAAUGCUUUUUUGUGUGUGUCAUGUCUGUUUGUUUUUCAAUUAAGAGAGGAAAGCAUUAGGCAGAUGGAAUGUACAUGUGAGGAUGAGGAGACAGAAAACAAGUAGCCCUUUCCAUCAAGAUAGAGGGUUUUCUGGGGUUGCUGGCUAUUGAAUGUCACUCCUGAUUUCUCUUUCCAAGGCACUGUACCACCAGCCUACUGAGAUUGUGUGGGAGCUUUCAUGGGGGUUGUAUUUCACUGAUGAAAAUAAAUUUUUUGCAUAAUGUG
rnacentral:lncRNA from 1 species